AGAGUUUGAUCAUGGCUCAGGAUGAACGCUAGCGGCAGGCUUAACACAUGCAAGUCGAGGGGUAACAGAGAAAAGCUUGCUUUUCUGCUGACGACCGGCGCACGGGUGCGUAACGCGUAUACAAUCUGCCUUAUACAGAGGGAUAGCCUUUAGAAAUGAAGAUUAAUACCUUAUAGUCUAUAUAUAUAGCAUUAUAUAAAUAGUAAAGCUUCGGUGGUAUAAGAUGAGUAUGCGUCCUAUUAGUUAGUUGGUGAGGUAACGGCUUACCAAGACAACGAUAGGUAGGGGCCCUGAGAGGGGGAUCCCCCACACUGGUACUGAGACACGGACCAGACUCCUACGGGAGGCAGCAGUGAGGAAUAUUGGACAAUGGAGGCAACUCUGAUCCAGCCAUGCCGCGUGCAGGAAGACGGCCCUAUGGGUUGUAAACUGCUUUUAUAUAGGAAGAAACCUUUUCACGUGUGAGAAGAUUGACGGGUACUAUAAGAA
rnacentral:rRNA from 1 species